rnacentral:rRNA from 1 species
CCUACGGGCGGCUGCAGUAGGGAAUAUUGCUCAAUGGGGGAAACCCUGAAGCAGCAAAGCCGCGUGGAGGAUGAAGGCCCUCGGAUUGUUAACCCCUUUUGUUAGAGAAGAUAAUGACGGUAUCUAACGAAUAAGCACCGGCUAACUCCGUGCCAGCAGCCGCGGUAACGCGGAGGGGGCAAGCGUUACUCGGAAUCACUGGGCGUAAAGAGCGCUUAGGCGGGAUAGCAAGGCAGACGGGAAAUCUUAUGGCUUAACCAUAGAACUGCAGUUGAAACUGUGAUUCUAGAGUAUGGGAGAGGUAGGUGGAAUUCUUGGUGUAGGGGUAAAAUGCGUAGAGAUCAAGAGGAAUACUGAGUGCGAAGGCGACCUGCUGGAGCAUAACUGACGCUGAGGCGCGAAAGCGUGGGGAGCGAACAGGAUUAGAUACCCGUGUAGUC